CCGGACCUUUUUGAAUUAAAGAAGUUGCAUUUCUUUGAUUAUAAAAAGCAUCUCUUGAAAUCUUAGCUUUGCCUGCGUUAAGGGAAGAAGGAGCAUGUCAACAGCCAGGAGGAGAUCCUGUUCUCAGAGACAGCGAUGCUCAGAAGCAAUGCAGUUGCGAAGAACAUCUUUGCCACACGAAAAUGCACUGCACCGCACGGUUAUUCUUUACCAGGUACAAUUUAUUUCUUCAUCAUGUUAGUGAAGCCAAAGAUUCAAGAUUUCAUUUUCGUUGGCUCUCAUUCAUUGAAGACAUGUUUCUUUUUUGCUUGUUAAUUACAUGACUGUUCUUUUCAUGAAUUGUUAAGUAGCAAGGAGAUAUGCCCAAAAUAUAUCAUGGGUAAUGCUUAGUGUUGUUUGUUGCUUGGCCUCCUCUACAACCGGAAUUCUAUGUUCCAGAAAUGCAUAUGUGUGUAAUUGGAAUCCAAAACAUGGGUGGAGCAUACUCUGGGCAGGAAAUUUGCUGGGUUUGUAAUUAUUUUAAGGUGCCAACCGACCACCACUGUGCUCUCAUGCAUAUAUUCAAACUUACAAAAGGCUGGGGUUGCCCAGAUGAGUUCUUUGUUGCUUUUGGUAGAAGGAAUUUUGACAAAAUAGAAACACAUAAACAAUUACUGCUUAUUAAGAAAUCACAAUUAUUAUCUUUCCCAGUUCCUGAUCUAAUCGUUUUGCUUGACUGCAGCCUCACUUGCGAACAUAUUUGGGAUCAUCCAAUUUUUGUAAUAAAAUUGUGAUCAUGUAGUACAGGUGGCGAUCAUCAUACGUGAUAAAUUGCACCAUUUCCAUGUGGGAUCCUGAGAUGUGGUUUUUAGGCAUGUUGAACAUGCUAGGAGGCCGAUACUGCCUCAACAGAGAGCAAGGCCAUAGGCCCAGUCCAGGAUUUCACCUAGGUUUUGUUGAAGGAUUAGGAGGAGAGCAAAGGUUCGAGGUUAACUUGGAAGUUCUGUUGGUGGUCUAGCAGUUUAUGCCUUAGCAUCUGCAAUAGAAAAGUUCUGCAAUGGUCGCAAGGCCAUAAACCGUGGUAAUGACGGAAGAAAGCAAAAAGUAGUUGAAAGAACUUUCCAAGAAAGAAGCAUCGGCAACAUUGCCUUGGAACCCAACGAGUCAUGAAUAUUAGAUUCUAAAUGUUGCUAGAACUGCAAUUCUUUGCUUUUACUGAUGAUUUCAAUAUCUUACAGGGUACAACCAAUGAUGUGACAGCCUUUCUAAUCCUUGGAAGAAGAAGAUAAAAGACUUAGCGACUCCGAUAUUUCAAGAGUGGGUCAAAAAUUUAAUACAGUGAUGGUGAUUAACAAGGGAGGGGAGGCACCCAUUUUUGUUAUUUGGACAGGGUACAACCAAUGAUGUGACAGCCUUUCUAAUCCUUGGAAGAAGACAGAUAAAAGACUUAGCGACUCCGAUAUUGUAAGAGUGGGUCAAAAAUUUAAUUCAGUGAUGGUGAUUAACAGGGGAAGGGAGGCACCCAUUUUUGUUAUUUGGAAAAUUCAGGCAGUGCGACUACCAAUAUACUCAUGACUAGAGCAGAAGACCUCUUAAUUAGUAUUGGAAUAAUAACAUAAAAGGUUAGCCCUUAUAUUCACAUUUGCUGAAACUUGAUUACCAGUCUGAGGAUGCACAGCCAUUACAGUAAUGUUGAUGAAACAAUAUUUCUUCUUAUUUACUUUAGGAAGAAGCUGGUGAAUUCACGUCUACAUGUAGCCACUAGCUUUCGAUUGCUGCAAAUAUGCAUAUUGGGUAAUUGCACUUGUUUGAGGAGGUUGAGUGAUGUAAACAUAGACUAAGACUUGGUCAUGGGAAAUUUCUACUGAGGGUUACUUCCCUGCUUCAUAAAUUCCCCAGAAACUCGAAUAGGUACUCACUUCCUAUGUAUUUCCUUCAACUUUUUUAAAAUUCAUUUGCUUGUAUUCAUUUCUGCAUCUACUCCCAGUUUUGGCAACUAAGGUUUAAAGCAUGACAUACCUAGAGACAUGGUGUCAAAGGAUGAGCUUCUCAUAAUGGAAUCAUCGGAAUACAGAACAAAAUCAUAAACUUGCAAAAAUAAUGUGCUUGCUUCCUGGUACACCUUACAGAUUACUCCUUUGACUUCAUAACUUGAUUGUUGACUAGGCCAAUAUGACUGAAUUGCUUAUGAUGUUUAUAAGUUUUUCCAUUAGAUUACAGUUUCUUAAAUUUACUAACUUUUAAGAUGUUGAUUAUGUGGUAGUAAAAUUUGUCUUGGUACCUUUAUUUUUUGGUGCUAACAAGGUGACAAAAUGCUAUAAAAUAAUGAGGGAUUGUUAGUUCUUCUAAAACAGAGUGAUCAGAGUUUCUUCAAGUCCUCUUAUCAUGUCUAGUGAUUAGUAUAAUACCAGUUCUAUCAGGACAAACGACAUUUUCCUCUGGUCUCUUUCCUCGGCUCUUAGGUUGCUGUAGUUCAUACUUUUAAUUGCCCAAUUAAAUUAGAGCAAAGAUCAUCUUUGCUUUUAUGCACUUUCCUUCUCUUGUCUAUUUGGAUUUGCAAUUGUGUAUCCACUACCAUUCUUUGGUAAUUUUGCUUGAGGUUAGGUUUAUGUCCUCAUUCUCUAUACAUCAUUUUCUUGAACUUUGUUUAAAUUCUGGAAGAUAAGUAAACAUGGAAAUAAAGGAAAUCAAGUAAUAGAUUGUCUUGUAAGAGAAUGGGCAGACAUAAGGCACACACAUUGGAUUUCCAGUGUUUCUGAGGGUUUGAUAAAAAAUGCAGGUGUUACAUCCAUGAUGAAAAAUCUUUAUAAUUUUGCAGAAAGACCAUAAUUGUUCAAGAUAUUCAUCAACCUUCUUCUGCUUACCUUCAUACAUUUAUCUAGGUUCAAGUUCUGUAGUCGACACCUCAUUUGGUGACACUGGUAUUAACUUGCUUGAAGAUUUGUCAUGCGUACCUCUAGAUAAAUCAACUUCAUUUGAAUAAGCAUAUGAAUCAAUGCCACUCUUUCCAAUGCAAAAUGCUGGUCUAGAAGGAGCCGGGAGAGACACAGAGAUACUGCUGAGCAUCACAACAACUUGUAACAUAUUGGGUCUAUCAGAUGGAUUUUUCUGGACGCACAAUAAGCCAAUCUGAACACAUCUUAACACUUCGCCUCUUGGGCAAUGGUUGCCUAAAGAUGGGUCCAAUAUCUCCAAAAUUGUUCCUUUGACCCACCGCUCCCAAACCUGCAUGAAAUGAAUUUAUUCAGUCAUCUGGGACAGAACAACAGUUGUUUUUAUGCAAUUGAAAACUCACAUAGCUCACUGUAUCUUCAACAUAUUCAGAAUUAGAACAAUCACUGUUUUUUCUGCCUGUAACGAUCUCUAAAACCAGAACACCAAAGCUGUAUACAUCUGACUUGAUAGAAAACUGCCCAUGCACGACAUACUCCGGUGCCAUAUACCCACUGUAAUAAAAUGAGUAUAUUAUUUAAAAUACUCUUUAAUCAACCAUCACUGGAAUGCAUAGGUAAUUCUUUCAGAUAGAGAAUGCUUAGGUUAUUCAAGAUUUCUACUUACAAUGUUCCAACAACUUGGUUCGUGGUGCACUGACUUUGGUCUCCACCAAAAAGCCUAGCCAAACCAAAGUCUGAAAUCUUUGGGUUCAAAUCUGCAUCUAAUAAGAUAUUGCUGGCUUUUAAAUCCCGAUGUAUAAUUUUUAAUUGAGAUUCUUCGUGCAGGUACUGUAGGCCUCGAGCAAUCCCGCCAAUGAUCUUGUUCCUUUUCUCCCAGUUUAGCUGUUCACGCUUCUCAGGAUCUAUAUCAUACAAACUUGAUAAUCAAUUAAGAAUGAUCAAUUAAGGCAAUACAUAUUAGAGUAAGUCCAAAGAGGGCUUGAACAUAAGAUGGUCAGACAUUUGUUUCUUCUGCACUAACAAAAGGGUUACACUAGAAACACAACUAGAUUUAGUUGGAAGAGGAGAGCCUACAUUUAAACAAACACCAAAGUUGGAGGUUCAGUAUUAAGUUAUAGUUCAACUAUAUUAUGGUCGCUGCAUACGUUUCUAAAGAUGGUCAGUUUUGAGUGGAUGAAGAAAUUAUACCAAAAAGAAUGUUGUCCAGACUUCUGUUAGGCACAUAUUCAUAAACAAUCAACUUCUCUUGUUCUUCCAAGCAAACACCCAGAAGCCUUACAAGAUUCCUGUGCUGGAGUUUUGCAACUAAAACUAGCUCAUUUCUCAGCUCUCUGAAUCCUUGUGAUGAACUAGCUGAUAACCUCUUCACUGCUAUUUCUCGUCCAUCAGAUAGUAGUCCCUAUACAGAAUUAUAAGGUUAACAGGAAUUAUAUAGAACCAGAAGAAAUUAAAGAUAAAUAUAGAACUGAUUUGGAUCAAGAAGAUUACGUAUGAUAAAUUUUUAUAUUGGAGUACAAUUCUAUUGAGAUUAGAUAUAAAGAAGUUGAUGCAAUAGGCUACCAUGAUACCUUGUAAACUGCACCAAAGCCACCUUCUCCAAGUUUGUUCUCUUCAGAGAAGUUAGCUGUUGCAAAUCGUAGUGUAGAUAUAUCAAGUAAUAGGGAAUCGACACUUACGAUUUCCUCCGGGUGACUCCCAUCUACUGAAAGUGCACGGAAUUUUGAUACAAUUAUAAAAAAAUGCUUUUGAAUCUUACAAAUAAUGAUAACAAGAUGAUAUAAUUGGACCAGAAAAAAAUUUGGAAGAUGAUGUUGCUUAAUUAAACCAAAACAACUCUAAAUCAAGACCAAUAUAUAAGUCGUUGCCUCUAAAGGCAGCGACUUGUGGACUGCUGGACCUAGUUAUUGCAGGCUUAUUAAAGGCCAUUGAAAUAAUAAUCAAGCAAUGCGCACUUUUUAUUGCUUACAGUAAACCUUUCUGGUCAUAACUUCUAUAGUUACUUCACCUAAGAUUUCAUCCUUUUUCCCUCUUGGUAGAACUUGCUCAAGCUCUCCAACAAAAAUGUAAAGACUGGAUAUUUUGUGAAACAAUAGAAAGCAUUUAAUUCAUGGGUUACUUACAUGGUAACUUUACCAAUGGCUUCCUCCUCGUCGAGAAACAAAUGCAAAUUAUGGAGAUAAGCAUGAAUGCAGUUACUAGAGGUAUCGCAAUAGCAAGGACCAUAUCGAUGACCUUGUUCUUCUUUCCUGCAUUGAUAAAUGACCACAUUCAUCUGCAUUCCUAUAUCAACAUAGCACAUUGACGAUAACAAGACAUGGAGCCAUUGAUUAAGACAUACAUCAUAUUAGUGCAUCUUUAUUGUGUGUUACAAAUGUUUGUGGCAUGUAUGGCAAUUGAGGCCGGUCAUAUUGUUGGAAAGCUUUUAUUAGUAUUUGCCCUAUAAACCUUAUGAUUCUUGUCUGGCAGGCUUGUUGACUAGAGUGUCUCUGAUAAAUGGAUUGAGUUUGGAUACUUUGUGGUGAAUGUUUUACAACAUAGACAGUUGAAUAGUCCUCGAUCAUUGCCAUGUCAUUUGAUUGUAGAGAUAGACAACUAUCAAAUAUGGCAUCGUGUUGCAUUCCAAAUGUUGUACAUCACUAUUGGAUGCUAAACAGUCAUCUGUCUCUAUGAUAGGAUGUCAUGGCAGUGAUUGAGGGUUGUACAGUUCUCUCUGGUGCAAAGCAUGCACCAUAGAGGAUCCCAACUCAAGUGAGUUAGAUGUGAAGCAGAACUAGGGUUCCAAAAUGGAUUGCCAUUUAAAAGAAAUCCAUGUGCAAACUUUUCGUGCUCCUAGGUUAGUAAUCAGCAUGUGAUCCUAUGGAAGUGUUAAUUUGGUGCAAUUAUGAUAGUGUGAACUACCUUUGAUCAAACAAUGAUAUACUUGUGCUAGCUGGCAAACCCUUAAAUUAAAGAAAGGUUAUUACUUUCGCUGGUUUGUGGAAAUAACCCUUGUAUAUUACAACACCAAGCAUUAGUGCCUUGCUCUAUUGCUUAUAUAAUAUUGCUUUCUUUUUUUUUCACUAGAGGCCAAUAAGGAAGAGUUGAUCUUUACUGUUACUUUAAAAAGUUUUUUGUAUGUAUACCCUCAUAAAUAUACGAAAUUAUAUAAAUACCCUUAUAAAAUUACUAUUUGCAUAUAUAUUCUUUUUUUUCUUUUUUGCAUAUAUACCUAAACCAUUUAAUGUCGCUAAAAAAUAAAAUGACUGAAAUAUCUUUAUGGAUAGAUAUGCAAAAGAAAGAUGUAAGGUAUGCACACAAAUAACAACUUUAUGAGGGUAUUCAUGCAAUUUCUCAUAUUUAGAAGGAUAUAUAUUCAAAAAAUUAUUAAAAAAAUUAAAACUUAGUUGAAAUUUGCCAAGUCUUUUAUGAUUCAGUUGGAUGGACAAGUCAAAAAAAGAUUGAGUCAUAUUGUCAAUUUUUUUUUUAAGAUAUUGACUUAGUCAAGUUGGAAUAUUAGGUGAUCAUUUUUGUAAUGUUAUUCUUCAUUUGAUUUUGAUAUAACUAUCAUUUUUGUAUCUAUGACAUCUACAUAUUCUUCAUUAUUUUUAAAAGAUUAAAACAUAUUGAAUUUAAAUUAAUUAUAAAUGUUUAGAUUAGUAAAAUAUUUUUUAGUGAUUUGUAAAUAUUAAGUUAUUGUUUGUUUUUGAGGCAAGAAUUUCAUAAGAGCAAAAUAAUUUAUUCUAUAAGAGUUGAUAUUAACAUGAUUUAAUAAUUUUUAUUAUUUUUUAUUAAUGAAUUAUCUUUACUAGAUUUUGAUAAUUUUUUAAUAAUUUUUUAUAAGUGUAUAUCCUCCUAAAUAUGCAUAAUUGCAUGAAUACCCCGUUAAAGUUGUUAUUGCAUCUAUAUUCAUAUAAUUUUUUAUUUUAUUUUUUUUGCAUGUCUACCUGUAAAGAUAUUUCAGCCAUUUCAAUUUUAAAUCAUUUAUUUUUUAACGGUGUUCAAUAGUAUGGAUACAUAUAUUAAAAAAAAAGUUAAAGAAGAAUAUACAUACAAAAUAUGUGUUUUAUGAGGAUACACAAAUAAAUAACAAUUUUAUGAGAAUUUUUAUAUAUUUUAGAGGAUAUACAUGUAAAAAGUUCUACUUUAAAUCACCCAUCACUUCUCAACUAAAUUAUGCAGAAACAUGCGUUUAGCCAAACAAAACAAAAAGAAAAUGUAGCCAUAAAACUCAAAUUGAUAGGAUGUUGGUAAACAGAUUAGAAAUGAUUGGAUGUCAAACAGAGUAGGAAGGACUCAUCUAUUCCCUAAUAAGUCACCGUCGAUAAACUAGUUUCACUAGUUCACUAGCACCGGUCGGCUACUCCCCUUACCGUCUUCCUCUGGUGUUUUGGUAGGUGGUGCGUUCUCCAGCGGCCCCCCAAGUCUUAGCGACGGUGCCCCGUCGAAGAUCUUGUAUAUUUCGUAC
rnacentral:lncRNA from 1 species